UUAUAUAUUAUAUAUAUAUACUCGUGUUUUAUUUACGAUUCAUAUUAUAUAAUUGAAUUUUUUUCUUUUCUUAGUAUAAUUUUUUUUUCCCCUUCACAUUAUAUAAAUAUAUUUAUAUAUAUAUAUAUAUAUAUAUUAUAUAUAAUUUUUAUAUUUAUAAGAUUAAACAAGAGAACCAUAAAUGCUAUAUUAUAAAAUAAAUUAAUAUAUAUAUAUAUAUAUAUAUAUAUAUGUAUAUAUUUAUAUUUAUACCUUUAAGGUUUAAUUUUUUACAAUCCGCCAUUUUCUUGUUUAUAAAAGAAAAAUGUAUAACCCAAAUUUUCUUUCUUUUUGAUAUAUAAUUAUAUUUAUAUGUAUAGAUAUAUAUUUAUAUUUAUUUAUUUUAUAAUUUAUAUUAUAUUAUUUGUUUUUUUGGUUUUUUUUUUUUUUUUUUCUUUUCUCUUCUUUUCUCUCUUUUUUUUUUUUUUUUCUUAUUUUCUUUAUUUGUUUUCGUUUUUGUACAACCAUAUAAUAAAAUAGUUGUAUAAUUCAACUAGAUUAUAUUUUUUUUUUUUUUUUUUUUUUUUUUUUUGUAAAAUGUAUAUAUUAUUAAUAUAUAUUAUUUCUAUGUGUAUAUAAUAUAUUAUUUCUUAUUAUGGUUAAUUUAUAUAUGUCACAAUCUACCUUAUUGUAGUAUGUAAAAAGAAAAAAAAAAAAAAAAUAAUAAAGAGAAUGAAAAGAGACUAAAUAAAAAUGUAUAAAUAAAUAAAUAUAUAUAUAUAUAUAUAUAUAUAUAUAUGUAAACAUAUAAUAUAAUGUGUUCUGCUAUGACAUAAUAGUAUAAUUUUUUUUUUUUUUUUUUCAUGGUUACAAUUGAAAAAAAAAAAGCGAAUUUAUUAUUUUUUAAGUAUCAAUUCGUAUAUCUCUGUAAAAGGUAGUCCUACACCUAAA